AUUGAACGCUGGCGGCAGGCCUAACACAUGCAAGUCGAACGGUAACAGGAAGCAGCUUGCUGCUUCGCUGACGAGUGGCGGACGGGUGAGUAAUGUCUGGGAAACUGCCUGAUGGAGGGGGAUAACUACUGGAAACGGUAGCUAAUACCGCAUAACGUCGCAAGACCAAAGGGGGGACCUUAGGGCCUCUUUCCAUCUGAUGUGCCCAGAUGGGAUUAGCUAGUAGGUGGGGUAACGGCUCACCUAGGCGACGAUCCCUAGCUGGUCUGAGAGGAUGACCAGCCACACUGGAACUGAGACACGGUCCAGACUCCUACGGGAGGCAGCAGUGGGGAAUAUUGCACAAUGGGCGCAAGCCUGAUGCAGCCAUGCCGCGUGUAUGAAGAAGGCCUUCGGGUUGUAAAGUACUUUCAGCGGGGAGGAAGGGAGUAAAGUUAAUACCUUUGCUCAUUGACGUUACCCGCAGAAGAAGCACCGGCUAACUCCGUG
rnacentral:rRNA from 1 species